CACUCCAAACCCCUCAUCCCCAGCUCCAUUGGGUCAUGUGCAUCAACAAUUUUCUUUAACUGGGUCACCAGAAAAAAAGUGUGAAAACCAUUGGUUUACACUACACUGUUUUGUCAGUGAAAGGCAUGUCACUUUUGCAGACAAAAUUCUUCUGUUUUGGCAACAAAAUAAAACCACCUGUAUGAGAGGCAUAGGGCUUUUCGCAGCAAAGUUUUAGUGACAAAGAAUCAGUGUAGACAUCAUGCUUGGUUUUGUUGCUGUAAAUGGCUUCCAGGAGGUGUUCUAUAAUGCCCAUCCUGACUGCUCUGGUCAGCAGUUUGAACUCCACUGCCCUGCACAAGCAUCCACUGCUUCCCUUCUAAAGGCCCAGGAAUUUUUGAAAUUCCACUUCCUGUUUGGUGUGGAGAACUCACAUCUCAUCUUUGCAGCUGACCAUGGUGGCUCCACGAGGCAAAUGCUCCCCCUCUUGGACCACAGCAGAACUGUUGGAUCUGCUCAGUAUAUGGGGAGAGGAGGUUGUGCAGUUCCAGCUGCACUCCAGCCAUAGGUACUUUGACACGAAGGGCAGAUUUCUCAUGGCUUGUGUGAUAAGGGCUAUGAUCAGAACAUGGUAUAGUGGUGAGCAAAGAUAAAGGAGCUGAGACAGGCAUACCAGAAGGUAAGGGAGGCAAACCAUUGCUCCAGUGCUGCGCUGAAGACCGUCCGCUUCUAUGAGGAGCUGGAUGCCAUCCUCGGUGGCCUCCCCACCUCCACCACCCAAAGCCCCAUGGAUAUUUUGGUGGGACUGGAGGUGGUGGACAAUGGACCUAAUCGUGAGGACGAAGUCGUGGCUGAGGAAGUGGACUUGGAGGACAAUAUGGAGCCCACAGCAGGGUCGUCUGAUGGUGCGGCAAGUCAGGAACUCUCCACUCCGGAGUUGUCUAGCCAGUCCCAGCAGUCAGUCUCCAGCAAGCAAGAUGCAGGAGAGGAGACCCCUGCAGGCCCAGCUCUUGACAUGUGGCUCGGACUGUCAAGGAUGUGUUGGACUUGGGCUUGAGACCUGGCCCUGAUAAGCUUCUUGUCGAGGGCUCUGCCGAGGCGGACCCGAUUAUCUGGGCAGCAGUGGAGGUGGCCGGAAAUGUCUCCUUGAGGCUGGAGGUGUGUACAGCCUGCAGUCCCUGCAGCCUGGUCUCCCUUUGCUGUGAAAACAGAAUGUUGCCCUUAAGGGGAGGUCCUGGUGGACAGCUGAACCUGGUGCAAGAGCCCUGAGGACUGGAGCCACGAACUGUGCCGCAUGGAGAUGGCCGAUGCCAUCGACUGAGUUGCAGAAUCAGCUGUGUCCAACGUCGCUUGCAGAGAGGCCCUGGCCACUGCCUUGCCCUCUUCCAAGAUGGCCAAGAAUUCCUGCCUUGACUCAUGGGGCAGAGAGUCCUUGAACUUGGCCAUUGAGUCCCAAGUAUCAUCUCAGCAAUGCUUGCUGGUUGGCGAUACG